rnacentral:tRNA from 1 species
GAGAUAUUAGUAAACUCGUAAAUUACAUCACCUUGUCAAGGUGAAAUAGCAGGUUAAACCCCUGCAUAUCUUA